rnacentral:rRNA from 1 species
CCUACGGGUGGCAGCAGUCGAGAAUCAUUCACAAUGGGGGAAACCCUGAUGGUGCGACGCCGCGUGGGGGAAUGAAGGUCUUCGGAUUGUAAACCCCUGUCAUGUGGGAGCAAAUUAAAAAGAUAGUACCCCAAGAGGAAGAGACGGCUAACUCUGUUCCAGCAGCCGCGGGAAUACAGAGGUCUCAAGCGUUGUUCGGAAUGACUGGGCGUAAAGCGUUCGUAGGCUGUUCAGUAAGUCGUGUGUGAAAGGCGCGGGCGCAAACCGCGGGCGGCACAUGAGACUGCGAGACUAGAGUAAUGGAGGGGGAACCGGAAUUCUCGGUGUAGCAGUGAAAUGCGUAGAUAUCGAGAGGAACACUCGUGGCGAAGGCGGGUUCCUGGACAUUAACUGACGCUGAGGCACGAAGGCCAGGGGAGCGAAAGGGAUUAGAUACCCUUGUAGUC